rnacentral:rRNA from 1 species
CCUACGGGAGGCAGCAGUGAGGAAUAUUGGUCAAUGGACGAGAGUCUGAACCAGCCAAGUAGCGUGAAGGAUGACUGCCCUAUGGGUUGUAAACUUCUUUUAUAUGGGACUAAAAUGUUCCACGUGUGGGAUUUUGUAUGUACCAUAUGAAUAAGGAUCGGCUAACUCCGUGCCAGCAGCCGCGGUAAUACGGAGGAUCCGAGCGUUAUCCGGAUUUAUUGGGUUUAAAGGGAGCGUAGGUGGAUUGUUAAGUCAGUUGUGAAAGUUUGCGGCUCAACCGUAAAAUUGCAGUUGAAACUGGCAGUCGUGAGUACAGUAGCGGUGGGCGGAAUUCGUGGUGUAGCGGUGAAAUGCUUAGAUAUCACGAAGAACUCCGAUUGCGAAGGCAGCUCACUGGACUGCAACUGACACUGAGGCUCGAAAGUGUGGGUAUCAAACAGGAUUAGAUACCCUUGUAGUC